UACGUAGGGUGCAAGCGUUAAUCGGAAUUACUGGGCGUAAAGCGUGCGCAGGCGGUUAUGUAAGACAGAUGUGAAAUGCCCGGGCUUAACCUGGGAACUGCAUUUGUGACUGCAUGGCUAGAGUUUGGCAGAGGGGGGUAGAAUUCCACGUGUAGCAGUGAAAUGCGUAGAUAUGUGGAGGAACACCGAUGGCGAAGGCAGCCCCCCUGGGUCAAGACUGACGCUCAUGCACGAAAGCGUGGGGAGCAAACGAGG
rnacentral:rRNA from 1 species